UUGGAAACGACUGCUAAUACUCUAUACUCCUGCUUAACACAAGUUGAGUAGGGAAAGUUUUUCGGUGUAGGAUGAGACUAUAUAGUAUCAGCUAGUUGGUAAGGUAAUGGCUUACCAAGGCUAUGACGCUUAACUGGUCUGAGAGGAUGAUCAGUCACACUGGAACUGAGACACGGUCCAGACUCCUACGGGAGGCAGCAGUAGGGAAUAUUGCGCAAUGGGGGAAACCCUGACGCAGCAACGCCGCGUGGAGGAUGACACUUUUCGGAGCGUAAACUCCUUUUCUUAGGGAAGAAUUCUGACGGUACCUAAGGAAUAAGCACCGGCUAACUCCGUGCCAGCAGCCGCGGUAAUACGGAGGGUGCAAGCGUUACUCGGAAUCACUGGGCGUAAAGGGCGCGUAGGCGGAUUAUCAAGUCUCUUGUGAAAUCUAAUGGCUUAACCAUUAAACUGCUUGGGAAACUGAUAGUCUAGAGUGAGGGAGAGGCAGAUGGAAUUGGUGGUGUAGGGGUAAAAUCCGUAGAUAUCACCAAGAAUACCCAUUGCGAAGGCGAUCUGCUGGAACUCAACUGACGCUAAGGCGCGAAAGCGUGGGGAGCAAACAGGAUUAGAUACCCUGGUAGUCCACGCCCUAAACGAUGUACACUAGUUGUUGGGAUGCUAGUCAUCUCAGUAAUGCAGCUAACGCAUUAAGUGUACCGCCUGGGGAGUACGGUCGCAAGAUUAAAACUCAAAGGAAUAGACGGGGACCCGCACAAGCGGUGGAGCAUGUGGUUUAAUUCGAAGAUACGCGAAGAACCUUACCUGGGCUUGAUAUCCUAAGAACCUUAUAGAGAUAUGAGGGUGCUAGCUUGCUAGAACUUAGAGACAGGUGCUGCACGGCUGUCGUCAGCUCGUGUCGUGAGAUGUUGGGUUAAGUCCCGCAACGAGCGCAACCCACGUAUUUAGUUGCUAACGGUUCGGCCGAGCACUCUAAAUAGACUGCCUUCGUAAGGAGGAGGAAGGUGUGGACGACGUCAAGUCAUCAUGGCCCUUAUGCCCAGGGCGACACACGUGCUACAAUGGCAUAUACAAUGAGACGCAAUACCGCGAGGUGGAGCAAAUCUAUAAAAUAUGUCCCAGUUCGGAUUGUUCUCUGCAACUCGAGAGCAUGAAGCCGGAAUCGCUAGUAAUCGUAGAUCAGCCAUGCUACGGUGAAUACGUUCCCGGGUCUUGUACUCACCGCCCGUCACACCAUGGGAGUUGAUUUCACUCGAAGCCGGAAUACUAAACUAGUUACCGUCCACAGUGGAAUCAGCGACUGGGGUGAAGUCGUAACAAGGUAACCGUAGGAGAACCUGCGGUUGGAUCACCUCCUUUCUA
rnacentral:rRNA from 1 species